AUUGAACGCUGGCGGCAGGCUUAACACAUGCAAGUCGAGCGGAGAGAAGUAGCUUGCUACCGAUCUUAGCGGCGGACGGGUGAGUAAUGCUUAGGAAUCUGCCUAUUAGUGGGGGACAACAUUUCGAAAGGAAUGCUAAUACCGCAUACGUCCUACGGGAGAAAGCAGGGGAUCUUCGGACCUUGCGCUAAUAGAUGAGCCUAAGUCGGAUUAGCUAGUUGGUGGGGUAAAGGCCUACCAAGGCGACGAUCUGUAGCGGGUCUGAGAGGAUGAUCCGCCACACUGGGACUGAGACACGGCCCAGACUCCUACGGGAGGCAGCAGUGGGGAAUAUUGGACAAUGGGCGGAAGCCUGAUCCAGCCAUGCCGCGUGUGUGAAGAAGGCCUUAUGGUUGUAAAGCACUUUAGGCGAGGAGGAGGCUACUUUAGUUAAUACCUAGAGAUAGUGGACGUUACUCGCAGAAUAAGCACCGGCUAACUCUGUGCCAGCAGCCGUGUAACAC
rnacentral:rRNA from 1 species